GUAAACAAUCUAAGAAACAUCCUUAAAUUUCCAAAAACACAAAUUUUUUUUUUUUUUUGGUUCACCUUGUCAAAGUCUCAUCGAAAUCAAACUUGCUCCAUCAAACACAUUGUCAUUUUGGUUCUUUGAAGUGCCAUGUGUCAGUUAUAAUACACAAGCAAAGCCAAAUUUCAAAAAAGUAGUAUUAAAACUUUGUACAAAUUAUAAUAGAUGGAAGAAGAGAAAUUUAAUUACAACAAACUAUUAAAAGUUUAAGAGUAUAUUAUAGAGCUAGUAUAAAAGAAGAUAGUUGAGGAAUAAAAAUACGAAUAAAAGGCACUCAAUGAGAGACAUUUAUAAAGACAUGAUAGAUAGGAUGCACAAGUGAGAUCAAACCAAGCACUAGAGUUCUAAUGAAAGAAGCUUCAACUUUGAAUUGCAUCUCCGGAAUUUUGCUCAUCUUCUAAUUGGUUUCCACCUUUCAAUGGAAUAUGGGACUCCCUGUAAGUGACAGUUUGCAAGGAUUUCCAUGGUACACGUCCACCCACUUGAACACGGGCAAUUGCUUCCGUAGUAGGGUUCCAAACCAGCAGCUGCCCACCCAAAUCUGAAAAAAAUAGCUCACCAUUCCUUGAAAAUCCCAAUGGCAAGCACGGGCGCAUAACCUCAGGGUAUGCUAUGGUAAAUAAUUUAGUCCAAGACUCUUUAACACCAUAUUCAAGCAAUACCCACAACUCAACAUGAUAAGGAACAUGGAGGGGCAGAGCAACAUACUCAUUCAAGGAAAAAAUUGACUCAAAAGAAUCGACAGGAUCUGGUAGACCUGUUGUUUUGAUAACCUCAUUGCACAAGUCGAAAGAAACAAUUACAUCUUCAGGACUAUGGUAUCUUGUCCUCCAAUGAAAUGUACCAUUUGCACCCGUAUGGCCUCUAUGAUCAUUAAAAAAGCCAUCACAAUAUUUAUAAGAAGGCAAAAUCCAAGCAUUCAAAGUGACAUCAACUUUUCUCCAUGUAUCAUCCCUUAGGCUAUAUAUCUCCACCAGGUAAUCCCAUUGGGAAUCAAGAGAUGAAUAUUCGAAAAUCCUGAGAACUUUGCAAUCACUAGUUCUUGGGUCAAAUCCGAAUUCUACUAUUUCCAAUGAAAUAGAAUGAUGAGGAGGACGCGGAACGUUCGAUUCAGGUAGGAUCUUAGUUUCUGUGGUUGUAGGGUUCCAUAGAACGAUGUUACUUUCAGAGUCAUAAAUAUCAUCCCAUAAUCCUAGCAAAUCCUCAACGUAAUAUACAUCACGGAGACAAAUUAAACCAUUACAGCAAGAACCCACAAUGUCAAUAAAUGAACAUUUUUCAAUUAUAUCCUUUGGAUAUGGUAUCUCCUGAGGAGCAGACAAAUCGAAUGUAUCAGAGGAGAGGAAGGAAAAAGCAUAAUCCUCAAAAUCCUCAGCGUUAUAAUCCUCAAAUUUGACAAGGACACGGGGAUUGGCAUUCAAAUCUUCAGAAUCAGAAUCAGAGAGUAGGUUUUUAUAUAUAAAAUUUGGAUCAGAAAAGAUAGCACACCAAGAUUUACAAACGCACCUGAAUCUGAAGAGACAAAUGACAGGUAAUCUGAAUCAGAUGUUGAUACCAAAUCUUUGGGCAGAACCAUGGUAGAUAGCUAGAAGAAGAGAGAAUUUUAGAAGAAUUCCCACGUCUCACUGGAUAUAUAAAUUGAGACGCAUGAACUCUUAGCCACUAAGACAUCUUCCAGUUGUAUACGAAUUGUUUUUCUACCAAUUCUAUCAGAGGCUGCCAUAUUCGUCCGCCUAAAAGAAAAGCAUAUGUGGCACCCAAAGGAAAAUAAAAAUAAUCAAAUAUCUAAAUUAGCUCGAGCCAAAACGCAUCGUUUCAAUUCCAGUGCUGAUUUGAUCUAAGCGAUGUGGUGGCAGGAUUGGAUGCAGAUCGUUGUGACUAGAAGUAAGAGUCUGGAAUGUGUACCCGUCCAUAAUAGAUAUCACAAGAUAGCUGCUUGUGAAGUAGCCGAGACGUCCAAAUCUCGCGCAUGAAGAAGCGAGAGGAAGCUGUAGCGGAGAAGGAGGUUUUGAAAGAGAAGGUGAGAAUAUCUGCGGAAUUGGUUAAAGCACAGAGAUGAGAUUGGGAAGCAAUUUAAUGAUGGGGACGGAUGCAAUCAGAGAUUGAAAGCUGCAAGCAUUUGCUAGUGACCGGAAUUUAGAACAUAUUCUGCAAAAGUGGUAAAGAAUUUAGGUGAAAUCUGCCAAAACGCACCGUUAUCUUUGUUUGGAUUGAGGGAGACGAAGGGAAAGAAAAGAAAAGAAAAGAAAA
rnacentral:misc_RNA from 1 species